rnacentral:rRNA from 1 species
UGGCUCAGGACGAACGCGGGCGGCGUGCUUAACACAUGCAAGUCGAACGGAAAGGCCCUUCGGGGUACUCGAGUGGCGAACGGGUGAGUAACACGUGGGUGAUCUGCCCUGCACUUUGGGAUAAGCCUGGGAAACUGGGUCUAAUACCGAAUACACCUCGCUGGCCGCAUGGUCUGGUGGGGGAAAGCUUUUGCGGUGUGGGAUGGGCCCGCGGCCUAUCAGCUUGUUGGUGGGGUGAUGGCCUACCAAGGCGACGACGGGUAGCCGGCCUGAGAGGGUGACCGGCCACACUGGGACUGAGAUACGGCCCAGACUCCUACGGGAGGCAGCAGUGGGGAAUAUUGCACAAUGGGCGCAAGCCUGAUGCAGCGACGCCGCGUGGGGGAUGACGGCCUUCGGGUUGUAAACCCCUUUCAGCACAGACGAAGCGCAAGUGACGGUA